GUGCUGUCAGGAAGCAGGCAGAUCGGAAGGUAAUUCGGAAGCAUGUGCCUGCAACUCUUUAAUUAGCAAGAUUCUGUGUGAGCUCUGCCACUACCUGCCUGCGAGUGCCUGCGCUAUAAAUGGCUUGGACGGUCUUCCCUCAGAGAAUGUUGGACUUUUGUGUCCUGUGCUUUCCCUGAUUUUGUUGCUCCUUGCACUGGAAUUGGUCAGUGUUCAUGCUGUUCAUGGUAAAGAUGCUCAGGAACGACAGCAGUAUCUGAGGUUCUUAAAACUGAUCCUCCAAUACACUGAGAACCUAGUGGCCUAUACCAGCCGACAGAAGAACAAAUGGAAUGAAGCCGUCAGUCUCACACGUGCAGUUUUGUUGAGAAUUUGGACGUUCAGUGAGAAGAAACAAAUGUUAAUACAUUUAACCAAAAACACAAAUAAAGUUGACACAGGCUG
rnacentral:lncRNA from 1 species